AGUGAAGUGCCUGAUUAAAGGGGUAUCUUGAUAGGGUAACUAAUGUAAUUUUUUACCUUUACUA
rnacentral:tRNA from 1 species